rnacentral:lncRNA from 1 species
GGCUUGAGCCCAAGAAGGGGAGGUUGCAGUGAGCUGAGAUUGUGCCACUGCACUCCAGCCUGGACAAAAGCCAGACCUUGUCUCAAAGGAAAGGAUAAGAGGAGGUAUUUGUGAAAGAGUUGUAGUUAACGGCAAGUUGAAAGCCCUUUGGUUAGGAGUUUGUUUUACAUUGAGCAAAGACUAGUGCAUAGUGAGGCAGAGGGUGAGUGGCAUCAGAUGAAGGUGAGCAAGUGGGUAAAAUGCCAGAUCACAAUUUAGUCGUAAAUGAUAUGACACUGAGAUUUUAUUGGAAGUGUAACAAGCCAUUUAAUGAGUUUAAGUGUGGAAGUGCUCUGUGGCUUCUGUAAGGAGAAUGGACUGGCAGGCUGCAGGAAUGUGUAAAUAGAAAGACUAGUUGGGCUAUUCUAGUUAGGUGAAAGAUAAUGGGGCGUAUUAAUGCCCUUUAUCUAGAUGACCCUUUUCUGAUAUUUAUUCCAAUUAGAAAUGGAGGUCUGUGUAGUACCCCUGUUUGAAUUUUGAGAUUAGAUAAAAGAGAAUGAGUUUGUACCUUACUGUUACUAAUACCUUGAUGUAUGUUUCCAUAAAAAGGUCAUUAAUAUACACACACUGAAGACUUUUUAAGGUAUGGCAUUUCAGUACUUACGGUUUAUAUGUACUUUUAAAAUGAUAAUGAAAUUAUGUUAAAGCAGAAUGAUUUGCAUGAACAUGUUGAAAUGUAAUAGAGGAAUUUCUAUUUUAAAAAGUUAUUUAUUCAAUGGAAAUAAAAAAGGAUGACUUUCCCUAAGGAAGGAAAAUGAGACACUUAGAGCCACUCAAGUUGGCUUGAGACAAUUGAAAUUUGCGAUGUUGGAAAAAUUUGUCAUUGUUUUAUAAAAUAGUUUUACACAGAAAUUAUUUACUUUAGAGAUGGCUAUUAAGAAUUGACUUGAAAAGUAAGGUAAGGCUUCAAAAUCUGGUCAGAUUAAUUUAAAUAAUAUAAUAGAAUUUUGUUCUUUUUCCCACCUUUUCUCUCACAAGCCUGCAGUCAGCUUAGGGCUCAACUGAGGAAGGAUCCAUUUGCAAGCUCACUCAUGUGGUUGUCAGCAGACCUUAGAACACCUGCUUCCAAGUUAACUCACAUGUCUAUUGUCAGGCCUCAGGCAUCUGGCUGUUGGCCAGAGACAUCAGUUUAUUGCUAUGUGGGCUUCUCUUUUCUAUAGGCUCAGAACAUAACAGCUUGUUUGCCCCAGAGCAAGAUAUCUGGACAGUGAGAGAAAGGCCCGCCUUGGACUCCCAAAGUGCUGGGAUUACAGGCUUGAGCCACCGUGCCUGGCUCUUAAUGACAUCUUUUAUAUUAGCUUAUACCAUUAGGAUAAAAUAUUUGCAUUAUUGCUCCUUGAUCUGUUUUAUCACUAUAAACAUAUAAGACCUUUGUGCUAUGUACUUACUCCAGUGACUAGGAGUCUAGUAAACUAGCAGAGUUACCUAGAUGACCCUUUUCUGAUAUUUAUUCCAAUUAGAAAUGGAGGUCUGUGUAGUACCCCUGUUUGAAUGGGUCAUUUAAAAGUGAAUGGAUUUAUUACUGUUAUACUUAACUCAAAUUUGUAGAAAAAUGCAUGCAUUUACCCAAGGCAAUUUGUAUCUUAAAUUUAAGUAAGAAUCUAUCACAGAUCUUGACAAUCUUGACAGGUGUGUUGUCAACCUAACAAAUACAAAUAUGACCUCAUAACAGGAUUGAAAUAAAAGAUUUUCAUUAGAAUUACAUUUUGAAUUUGAUUGUGUAGAAUGAUUUUACAGACCAUUUUAUCCCAUUUAUUUUUUGUUUGUUUUGUUUUCUUUCAUUUAUUCAGUGGUGAGUUAGUUACUAGACUAUUCUUAAAGGAAAAACUAUACACUUUCUUUGUUUCCAUAGAAUGAAGAAUCAUGAAAUCAUAAGUUUCUUGAAGGAAGGAGAGAAGAAAAAGCUGGAUCACUUACCAGUAACUGGAGUUCUCCUAUUGGGUAAUCUCCACAGAUCCACAUUGUUUGAAGUUAUUGUGAGUGCCUCGAGGACCAAGGAACCGUUGAAAUUUCCAAUUUCAGGAAGUUCCAGUGGAUGCCCAUCAGGAAGAUUCUCAUGCUGAACAGAAGGGCAAGAGAGGUGGAUCUGUGAGGGAAAAGACCCAAUAGGAUAACUCAAGUUACUGGAAACCUCGACCUGUCUCCCAGUUGGUUGCACAGCAGGUUACUCAGCAGUUUGUGCCUCCUACACAGUCAAAGAAAGAGAAAAAAGAUAAAGUAGAAAAAGAAAAAAGUGAAAAGGAAACAACUAGCAAAAAGAAUAGCCAUAAGAAAACCAGGCCAAGAUUGAAAAAUGUGGAUCGGAGUAGUGCUCAGCAUUUGGAAGUUACUGUUGGAGAUCUGACAGUCAUUAUUACAGACUUUAAGGAGAAAACAAAGUCACCGCCUGCAUCUAGUGCUGCUUCUGCAGAUCAACACAGUCAAAGCGGCUCUAGCUCUGAUAACACAGAGAGAGGAAUGUCCAGGUCAUCUUCACCCAGAGGAGAAGCCUCAUCAUUGAAUGGAGAAUCUCAUUAAAGUUUAUUUUCUCCAAUUUCUUAGUCACUUCUGUCCUACCAUGCAAAUACACAGAUUAUGCCAAGAGGUACCACAUUUUCAUGACAGAUACAUUCAUGCACAAUCCAUAAUUUGAGUUUUACAUAAAAUAGAAAUUUGUUAGAAUUUGUUAGAUUUUAUUGCAAUGAUGCCUACCAAACAUUUCCAGACUUAACAUUUUGGUCUCUGCAGUUAAGUGCCAUGAAAAUGUGGUUGAAUUAUUCAUUAUGCAGUGUUAUUGGUAAGUGUAUUUUCACUUUUAGUUUAGUGAAUUCUAACACAUAAUUCUUGAAUUCUCUACUAUUGGCAUGUAACGAAUUUAAAUUUUUUAUAACAUAGUGCAAGCUGCCUAAAUAUGUAUUAUUUGAGAAUUGUGAAACAGAUAGUUAUAUGUAUACAAGUCAAAGAACAACUUAACUAUUGCUGCAACAGGUUUUUCUUAAUGGUUAUCCUCUUAAAUACACCUGCUGGUACUUGGUGUGGUUAAAUAGGAAAAUUGUUAUUAAAUAAAGAAUUUGUAUGAACCUUUGCCAAUGUUUUUGACACGUUUUACUAAUUAUUGUUCCUGAAUUAUGUUUCUGGUUUUAUCUAUUUUUUGAGGUUUUUUUGUUUGCUUAUUUUUCAAAACAUUCAUUUAUUGUAAUGUUUACUAGCGGACUAGUAAACAAUAAAACAUUGAUUAUUUAGCUUUAUAAUUCAGGUUUAGUGCUAUUGUCAUUGAACACUGGUAUUUUCUGUAUCAUAUAAAACAUUAAAAUUCAAAUAAUUAUAAGCAUUUGGCAAAAACAAGAGAAAAGAAACUUGCCAUAUUUUACAAGCUGCAAUUUUAGAAAAGCUUUAACUUAAUGAUAGUUUUAUCAUUGUUUUCUUGUCCCAAACUUAUCCAGGGCCAUAGAAGUAUGAAUCUAAUUAAAACAGAAAUGGGAAUUAUUGCACAGAAAUGGGAAAUAACUAAUUUUAAAUCAGUCAAAUUGGCUUCUUAUUAAAUACAAUAAUUCUUAUGAAAAUCAUAGUACCCUAUUUUCAGACACAGCUGCCAGUUUACACAUUUCUCAGUAUCCUGAAAGGAAAAAAGUAUAGCCCCACUUAUACUAUGUAAAAUUACCAAUAAAAUAUUUUUAUGACUACAGAUUUUGCAUUUUUGUUUACAACUAUUUAAAGAGUUUUAUGUUGUAUUUAGAAUUUCAACCUAGAAACCACACAGUACUUAAAUUCUCCUGGGGUCUCCUGCUUUCUCUUAACCAUUUGCUUAAUAUAUAUCUACCUAAAGGAGACUUCUGAAUUGUAAAUGAACUUAAAAAUAGAAUGUGGAUGCAAAAUAUCACAUAAGACAUCAUGAUAACAUUUGAAGAAAAAAUAAAACUGUAGACCCUAACAGUUGUGAUAUUUGGUGGUUUCAUGUGGUAAUGUAAUUUUCUGUUUAAUUACAGUACUUUUUACAGGCACA